rnacentral:lncRNA from 1 species
UUAAAGCAAACAUCCAUAGCAUGAAUCGCAGAGGAGAAGACAAUGAACACGCCAAAAUCUGCUGCCAAAAAUCACUCAAUCCAGAAGAUUCAGGGAGCAACUGCCCAUGAAAACAGUUGCAUUUCAAUAUGCCAAAUCAAAACUAGCCAAAAGCCAUUGAAGUAGACCUUUUUCAAAAGUCAUUAUUUUCAGAAAAGGCGGAGAUAAAAUCAACACUGAAGCUGUGUAACAUGCAGACACUACGUCCCAAUUUCGUGCAAGUUAGAGUGCAAAUGCAUGAAGUGAAGCAUGACGUACAAUCACUAACUUGACACACUGGAAUAAUGCUCAAAUGAAUCCAAUAUCAGUGACAACAAAUGAAUCCAAUUUAUCCGAGUAGGUCCAAAUAUAUAGAUAACCCUCAGAUCCAUUUCCGAGUUCAAAUCUCAUUCUCAAUCUUAACAUCCUUGGCAAGUAGCUCAUACAACACAUUAACAAACAAACUCUCAGCAAAAGCAAUACUAAAACUCAUGAAAAAUAACAGAUGAACAACAUCUAUUCAACUGAAGCGGGCAGUUUUGCCUAUCUGAGGAUUAAAAAGAAGCUAGACACAAGAACAUGAGCUUAUCAUUGUAAAAUGAUGCCUUCAGCAUAUGAACUGGAAGACGCACUCUUCAUUUGUAAACAAACAGUUGUAACCCAACUAAAGCAGGGGAAAAGGAGACUAUUCAGUGAUUCAUGUCGAACUUGUCGAAACAAAACAGUAGGUGCAUUCAUAGUCGUGCAAAUAGGCUGUCUGGGUAGUGCAAAUAGGGCAGCUGACUCGAUUCAUCAAAGUUCAGAAUGAUUAGAUUCGAGUCCCUAACAGCCGCUAUCAAUUAGUCCACACUCGAUGACAAUCCCAAAAUUUUGGUGCAUAGGUAAACUCAUUCUUUCAACAAGGAGAACAUGCAGAUAAGGUUACGAAAUUAAAGGAAAGAGAAACUAAACAACUCUUUGAACUCUAAUUUAGUAGAACAAAAUCUGAGGACCAAAGAGAGUUCACAGAACAAGUCGAAACUGAACUCAUCGUUCAUUUGCAAGCGACAAAAUCUUGACUCAAAAUGAUAAUUUGACCCCAAAAUAACAGUUAAACCAUAUAAGCACAGAAAACGACCACUCAAAAUCAACUUCUACUAGCUGAGAAUACUCAAAUACAUCACACCAUCGUGGACAGAUUUAAUCAGCAAGAAGUUCGAUCAAAACACAAACAAACCACCCUAGAUUUAAUCUCAUAGCUCAAAAUACAACGAAACAAAACAAAAUCGCAAGAACAGAGAGAUGAAGACUGAACCUGAAAUUUCAAACUUCUUUUGAUAACAAAAUCGAAGGCGAUUACACAGUUUCGACUCCAAACUUUCAGCAGUAAAAUAACAGCAGGUCAAGGCUCGGAGCACAGCCAAACCAGUGCAAAGACGAGCAGCAAUCAGAUGUUUAGACAGCGACGAACUCAGCAACUUUCAAUCGAACUCCAUUUUAAGAACCAAAAUCAAAUCAGCAGGUAAAGGCUUGAAGGAUAGCCAAACCAGUAGCAAAGACGAGCAGCAAUAAGAAGUUUAGACAGCGACGAACUCAGAAACUUUCCAUCGACUCCAUUUUAAGAACCAAAAUCAAGACAAAUAUUUAAAUCUUUGGUGAUUUUCUAAUUUCUUCUGAAAUAAAACUCGAACAAAAAUCAAACCCAAACUAUUCUUUGUAUUUUUCUUUUUCUGAAAAUGCAAUACCAGAUUCAAAAGAAGGAAACAGAACCCUUUUUACCUCUCCGAAAUUUUCUCUCAAACCCCUCCCCCCCUAUACAAAAGAAAGACCUCACCUUAUACCCAAGCCUAGAAGCUUCCUCAAAAAUCCGAAAAUAUUCCCUUCUAGAACAAAUUCGGACAGAUGGAGAGAGGGGAUCGAUUCAAAAUCAAUCUACAGUCCCCAUUUUUCCAAAUUCAUUCUUAAAGGCACAUGGGAGAUGAAAUUCUGUCAGAG